GGGUUGUGAGGUUAAGCGACUAAGCGUACACGGUGGAUGCCCUGGCAGUCAGAGGCGAUGAAGGACGUGCUAAUCUGCGAUAAGCGUCGGUAAGGUGAUAUGAACCGUUAUAACCGGCGAUUUCCGAAUGGGGAAACCCAGUGUGUUUCGACACACUAUCAUUAACUGAAUCCAUAGGUUAAUGAGGCGAACCGGGGGAACUGAAACAUCUAAGUACCCCGAGGAAAAGAAAUCAACCGAGAUUCCCCCAGUAGCGGCGAGCGAACGGGGAGCAGCCCAGAGCCUGAAUCAGUGUGUGUGUUAGUGGAAGCGUCUGGAAAGGCGCGCGAUACAGGGUGACAGCCCCGUACACAAAAAUGCACAUACUGUGAGCUCGAUGAGUAGGGCGGGACACGUGGUAUCCUGUCUGAAUAUGGGGGGACCAUCCUCCAAGGCUAAAUACUCCUGACUGACCGAUAGUGAACCAGUACCGUGAGGGAAAGGCGAAAAGAACCCCGGCGAGGGGAGUGAAAAAGAACCUGAAACCGUGUACGUACAAGCAGUGGGAGCCUCUUAAUGGGGUGACUGCGUACCUUUUGUAUAAUGGGUCAGCGACUUAUAUUCUGUAGCAAGGUUAACCGAAUAGGGGAGCCGAAGGGAAACCGAGUCUUAACUGGGCGUUAAGUUGCAGGGUAUAGACCCGAAACCCGGUGAUCUAGCCAUGGGCAGGUUGAAGGUUGGGUAACACUAACUGGAGGACCGAACCGACUAAUGUUGAAAAAUUAGCGGAUGACUUGUGGCUGGGGGUGAAAGGCCAAUCAAACCGGGAGAUAGCUGGUUCUCCCCGAAAGCUAUUUAGGUAGCGCCUCGUGAAUUCAUCUCCGGGGGUAGAGCACUGUUUCGGCAAGGGGGUCAUCCCGACUUACCAACCCGAUGCAAACUGCGAAUACCGGAGAAUGUUAUCACGGGAGACACACGGCGGGUGCUAACGUCCGUCGUGAAGAGGGAAACAACCCAGACCGCCAGCUAAGGUCCCAAAGUCAUGGUUAAGUGGGAAACGAUGUGGGAAGGCCCAGACAGCCAGGAUGUUGGCUUAGAAGCAGCCAUCAUUUAAAGAAAGCGUAAUAGCUCACUGGUCGAGUCGGCCUGCGCGGAAGAUGUAACGGGGCUAAACCAUGCACCGAAGCUGCGGCAGCGACACUAUGUGUUGUUGGGUAGGGGAGCGUUCUGUAAGCCUGUGAAGGUGUACUGUGAGGUAUGCUGGAGGUAUCAGAAGUGCGAAUGCUGACAUAAGUAACGAUAAAGCGGGUGAAAAGCCCGCUCGCCGGAAGACCAAGGGUUCCUGUCCAACGUUAAUCGGGGCAGGGUGAGUCGACCCCUAAGGCGAGGCCGAAAGGCGUAGUCGAUGGGAAACAGGUUAAUAUUCCUGUACUUGGUGUUACUGCGAAGGGGGGACGGAGAAGGCUAUGUUGGCCGGGCGACGGUUGUCCCGGUUUAAGCGUGUAGGCUGGUUUUCCAGGCAAAUCCGGAAAAUCAAGGCUGAGGCGUGAUGACGAGGCACUACGGUGCUGAAGCAACAAAUGCCCUGCUUCCAGGAAAAGCCUCUAAGCAUCAGGUAACAUCAAAUCGUACCCCAAACCGACACAGGUGGUCAGGUAGAGAAUACCAAGGCGCUUGAGAGAACUCGGGUGAAGGAACUAGGCAAAAUGGUGCCGUAACUUCGGGAGAAGGCACGCUGAUAUGUAGGUGAAGUCCCUCGCGGAUGGAGCUGAAAUCAGUCGAAGAUACCAGCUGGCUGCAACUGUUUAUUAAAAACACAGCACUGUGCAAACACGAAAGUGGACGUAUACGGUGUGACGCCUGCCCGGUGCCGGAAGGUUAAUUGAUGGGGUUAGCGGUAACGCGAAGCUCUUGAUCGAAGCCCCGGUAAACGGCGGCCGUAACUAUAACGGUCCUAAGGUAGCGAAAUUCCUUGUCGGGUAAGUUCCGACCUGCACGAAUGGCGUAAUGAUGGCCAGGCUGUCUCCACCCGAGACUCAGUGAAAUUGAACUCGCUGUGAAGAUGCAGUGUACCCGCGGCAAGACGGAAAGACCCCGUGAACCUUUACUAUAGCUUGACACUGAACAUUGAGCCUUGAUGUGUAGGAUAGGUGGGAGGCUUUGAAGUGUGGACGCCAGUCUGCAUGGAGCCGGCCUUGAAAUACCACCCUUUAAUGUUUGAUGUUCUAACGUUGGCCCCUGAUCGGGGUUGCGGACAGUGUCUGGUGGGUAGUUUGACUGGGGCGGUCUCCUCCUAAAGAGUAACGGAGGAGCACGAAGGUUGGCUAAUCCUGGUCGGACAUCAGGAGGUUAGUGCAAUGGCAUAAGCCAGCUUGACUGCGAGCGUGACGGCGCGAGCAGGUGCGAAAGCAGGUCAUAGUGAUCCGGUGGUUCUGAAUGGAAGGGCCAUCGCUCAACGGAUAAAAGGUACUCCGGGGAUAACAGGCUGAUACCGCCCAAGAGUUCAUAUCGACGGCGGUGUUUGGCACCUCGAUGUCGGCUCAUCACAUCCUGGGGCUGAAGUAGGUCCCAAGGGUAUGGCUGUUCGCCAUUUAAAGUGGUACGCGAGCUGGGUUUAGAACGUCGUGAGACAGUUCGGUCCCUAUCUGCCGUGGGCGCUGGAGAACUGAGGGGGGCUGCUCCUAGUACGAGAGGACCGGAGUGGACGCAUCACUGGUGUUCGGGUUGUCAUGCCAAUGGCACUGCCCGGUAGCUAAAUGCGGAAGAGAUAAGUGCUGAAAGCAUCUAAGCACGAAACUUGCCCCGAGAUGAGUUCUCCCUGACUCCUUGAGAGUCCUGAAGGAACGUUGAAGACGACGACGUUGAUAGGCCGGGUGUGUAAGCGCAGCGAUGCGUUGAGCUAACCGGUACUAAUGAACCGUGAGGCUUAACCUUACAACGCCGAAGGUGUUU
rnacentral:rRNA from 1 species